CCCCGGAAGUGACGUCCUGCCCGGGGGAGCGAAAGGUGCCCGGCAAGCAGUGGGAGAACUGGGAAACACGGAUCUUUUUUUUUUUCCCUUGCCAGGGUUUAAAUCCUGAUCCCAAAGAAGGAGACGAUGCGUUCGCUCCUGGAAAACGUACCCUAGUCCCUCCUGGAGUCACUAGAGAGCCUGGCCCUGUGCAAGAGCCAGGUGCUAAAGGGACUUCUUCGCACAACGGAACCUCGGCAGCGGAGGCUGGUGAACGGGGCGACCCUCCGGCUCCCGAGCACCCUGCGCGGGAACCACCGGGCAGCCCGCGGAAGCACGGGAGCGACGGACGGCGGCGAAGGAAUGAAGUUUCAAAUGUGGAAAUUUGUUACAAAACCAAGGCAUCCUCCUGUAUGCAUCUCUUGUCAUGAUCAUAUGUGGUGCCAGCAUGUACUAUUAGCGGGUCCUCCAAAAUGAACAAGACAGGAAGCAGAAAAGCAAGGAUACAGUAUGCAGAAGACAGUCCUAUGGAUCCCAAAAGCAAAACAUUGCUCUCAGAACUGAGAGAAACAGCACAGCUCCAACAGGCACCUCUAGGAAAUAUCCACCUGGCCAUCAUGAAGACAAAAGGUUUAGAGCAGAAAAACAGCUUCUGGCAAAUUAUCUCAAAGGAGGACUGCUGAAAUUAAGGUGGAAAGUAGUCAUGGAAUGAGAGGAUUUAAAGAGCAAAGACAUUAGAAAGAUGCUGUUUACAAAGAAGAAACAUGGGCUGACAAACAGAAGGCAGCAAAAGGCCCCCAAAUUGUGGAACAGAUACCACAAGUGGAAUGUCAGCUACUUCAAUGGAUGUAAGAAGUUUUCCUAAAGUGACAGUAUCUUCUACUGCAUGUGGCACAGGACUCAUCAUAGGGUGGGUUAAUGCAGCUGCCACUACUCGUCGAAAGUAUUUGAACAAGCAAAGUUUUGGAAAUCUCGAUCAAUGGUUUUAGACAUGUCUCUCAUCAAUUUUAGAUCUUAAUCUACUGCAUAUCUCAGUCCUAAUUUCUGAAAAAGUUUAGCAUGGAAGAGCAUUUGCCUAAAUUCCAUAUGCAUUUCUACAACUGAACUGAAUCAAUUUCUACAGGAAAUUAUCCAAACUGUAUAUAGAACUAUUAAUGUUAUACAGAAACAAAAUGUAUGCUUAUACAGUCACUGCAAUUCUGAUUUGUACAUAAAACCGUAUGCUUAAUUUAGACUAUUAAUAUAAAGGUGUAAGUUGAUUUUGUUUAACUUGCCUUUCUUUUUAUAUUACUUUCAGUAACUCCAAAAGAAAAGGAUUAAAAUUUACUCCCCCCAGGCCCUCUUGUUCCUCAAGUCUUAGAACAGAUCACUCUCUAUUCAGGAGCUAAAUUACCAACAUAGCCCCAUGAUUUCUUGUUUGACUACCUUAUAAGAAUCUUUACAUUUAAACUAAAUUGUCAGACAAACAAUUAGGAAUCACAGUUAUGACUGUUUAAUGCAGACUUGAGUUACAAUUACUUUGGCCCCAACCUAAGUAGUAUAAUCAUAAUGAUGAUGUGGCAAAACAAGAGAUUCUUCUAGUUAGUAUUUGUGAAAAUGGUUUUGUAAAUAAACUUAAAAGAGAGAAAAGAAGUGAAUGGAUAGUGGAAGAACUGUUAGGAAUUUCCUCAUAUUACAAAUUCCUUUGAUCUGAAGAAAACAGGAAGCUGUAGUAGCAGGGACAUCCUCUCUUUGUUAUGUUCUGCUCAGAUGCACAUGCUCAAAUACACACAUCCUAUUAAUACAGAAGAAGAGUCCCUUCAGCAGUCCCUGGAAGAGAAACAAGAACAAAAUCCUUCCCUGUAGACUUUCAAGCCUGCAGAAAGGGAAGACGUGCCACUUUUAAGCAAAUCUUCAGCACUUUCUCCCUAUCUAUUCUGUACUAAAAUAAUAAACAAUGGCAUUGCUGGGUUGUAUUUCA